rnacentral:lncRNA from 1 species
AGCACACAUAAAAUUUCCAUCCUUUACAAUUAAAUUGUUCAUUUUUUAAAAAAAUAAAACCAGAAUCACUUCAACUUUGUGAUCUUUUUUCCCAACAAAACUGGAAAUACUUUGUUAUACCACCAGGUAUUUCUUAAAAAAAAUCAAUGAGGUGGCAAAGAAAAUAUUAAGAAUUGUAAUACUGUCCCAUUCUCCUUUCUUUUGUCCCAACUCACUCUUUUGGCUACAAAACUGUCAGCCACAGCAUGAAGUCUGCUAAAAAUGAGUUCAGCUCAGCAUCUUGUCAGAUGUAGACCAUGUUUUGUAUUCUCUGAUUUUCUAAAGAGAACAAACAAACCCAGAGCGUAGGAAGGUACUUAGAUGGCUUCUAGGGAAGCUGUCAUUUCCACUGUAGCUUUGUUCUUUACUGCAGAGACAGGCUGAUACUAAAAACUGCUUAAAGAAAAGAGAAAAAUAAAAUAGCAUUAAAGCAGGUUAAUAAAUGUUAAGUAGAGAUAGAUACUGGAACAGGAAGCACAUUUGGUCAUGGGUGCUGAUACAGAAAGAGAAGACAAUAUUUAAAUAUUUCAAUGAAUCCUUGGAGCUAAGAAGACAGCAGUGUUAACCGGACAAUAUAUACAAAUAUUUCAUUACUGAGAAUUAUAGUUCACAAUGUUUAUCACUCUAAAGUUUUCCAAUAUUUGUCUAAAAUUUAUUGCUGUGAGAUAAUGGAGACGGAGACACAGAAAAGAGAUGUGAAAAGAGAUGUGUGUGAGUCUCUCAUUUACUAUGUGAAGGGGAAGACAUUUUUAAAUGCUGAAAAUUUUAUAGGAAUCUACUUUCUACAAAAUGCUGAACUGUAACCUGUGAAGUUAUUUCUGUACAUCACUACUUUUUUCUGUUUAUAGUACUAUCUCUCCUCAUUGUUGGAUGAAAUUCUUUGAACAUCUCCUAACACUAAGUGGUUCCCAAUUUUGGAUCAUUAUUUG